rnacentral:sRNA from 1 species
CCCUCAUGAAGUUCUUUUAUCUUUUGGCCGUCGCAAUGAUCGGCAGUGGAGUCUGCGAAAAAAAUUAUCUUCUAUUAUCUUCAAGAAAAACGAGGCAAAUCUAGCGUUCACAUUGCCACGGGCAGCGGUGCACCCCGGCUGUUACAGUG